GUGGGGAAUCUUGCGCAAUGGGCGAAAGCCUGACGCAGCCAUGCCGCGUGGAUGAUGAAGGUCUUAGGAUUGUAAAAUCCUUUCACCGGUGAAGAUAAUGACUGUAGCCGGAGAAGAAGCCCCGGCUAACUUCGUGCCAGCAGCCGCGGUAAUACGAAGGGGGCUAGCGUUGCUCGGAAUUACUGGGCGUAAAGGGAGCGUAGGCGGACAUUUAAGUCAGGGGUGAAAUCCCGAGGCUCAACCUCGGAACUGCCUUUGAUACUGGGUGUCUUGAGUGUGAGAGAGGUGAGUGGAACUCCGAGUGUAGAGGUGAAAUUCGUAGAUAUUCGGAGGAACACCAGUGGCGAAGGCGGCUCACUGGCUCGAUACUGACGCUGAGGUGCGAAAGCGUGGGGAGCAAACAGGAUUAGAAACCCGAGUAGUCC
rnacentral:rRNA from 1 species